CUAAUUUCUGUAAUUUUCAGGGCCUGAGGGCAGCAAUAAGCCUUAAUUGCCCUGACCAGCUUCAUCUGGGGCCACAUCCACACCUCUAACUGAGAGCCCAGGGGCUCCAUUUCAGCCUAGCCCUGAGCUAUACUGCAGAGCAUCCUGGUUUGACCCCGGAUUGACUCUGGACGUGACUCAGCACCUGACUUUACCCUGCCUGGGGAUCACUGGGUGAUGCAAAACCUUCUCCCUGAUCCCCACAAAUACUGGAAUAGUUUGGGAAGGAGCCAGAACAGUGUGAACAGGGACACCAGAGGCUUUUCUGAAAAGCUGCUUGAAUAGGAGCCAAGAGUGUACUGCUGUUAUGAGCAAGGAGAAGUGGAUAAUGGGCUACUGCACACAUUGGGAAGGUGUGGCCAAAAGAUUGGAGGAAUUUAUUAUAACCCUCCACAUGGCUCUGGCAAUAGAUAUUCAGCAAGAACAUUCCGUUGGGACCUGCACCUGGACUGGAAUAGCAAGAGAUAUGGUAGACAAAACAAGAUAGAAGGCUCAAGGUCCUUGGAGGAGCUCC